rnacentral:lncRNA from 1 species
AGAACUUUCCCAGCAGGGGCAAAGCUGGGGCAGAGGCAGGAAGACAGUCGCCACCCCUGGGAGCCGGUGACCAGUGGGAAUGCCCCUUGGCCUUGGGUUUCUCCUCUGCCGGGAGGGAGCAAGUCCUUCCAGGCAGGCAUCAGGAAACAUCUCCGAAGCUGCUAGGAUCCCCCAGGGCCAUGCACCUUUCCCCCAGCCGCCAGGGCCCCAGCUGCUCCGCUCGGACCAAAUGGCAGGCUGCCUGCCCUGAGUCCAGGGCUCUUCUGCCCUUUCUGCCCAGCUCUCGUCUCCCUGGCAGGUCAGAGGUGGUUUCCGGUCUGGACGUGAAGAGGCAGUGAUUGUCUCCGAUGAGGGCAAGUCCUGAACCAUCCAGGCAGACUAAUGAGAAGCUAGAGAAGCUGGAAGCAAAUGAACGGACUAGGAAGGUUACACUUUAAAAGCCAGGUGAUGAGGACACAGGACACGGCUCUGCGACAACAGUAAGCCAGCCCCUUCAGGAUGGUCCAGAGACUACAGGUGGAAAGGGACUGAGGUACGGAACCCAUUCAAUAAACUCCAGAAACAGAAACGCGUGAA